GUAGGUGGCAAGCGUUGUCCGGAAUUAUUGGGCGUAAAGCGCGCAGGCGGGUUCUUUAAGUCUGAUGUGAAAGCCCACGGGCUCAACCGUGGAGGGUCAUUGGAAACUGGAGAACUUGAGUACAGAAGAGGAAAGCGGAAUUCCACGUGUAGCGGUGAAAUGCGUAGAGAUGUGGAGGAACACCAGUGGCGAAGGCGGCUUUCUGGUCUGUAACUGACGCUGAGGCGCGAAAGCGUGGGGAGCAAACAGGAUUAGAUACCCUGGUAGUCCACGCCGUAAACGAUGAGUGUUAAGUGUUAGGGGGUUUCCGCCCCUUAGUGCUGCAGCUAACGCAUUAAGCACUCCGCCUGGGGAGUACGGCCGCAAAGGCUG
rnacentral:rRNA from 1 species